rnacentral:rRNA from 1 species
AGAGUUUGAUCCUGGCUCAGGAUGAACGCUAGCUACAGGCUUAACACAUGCAAGUCGAGGGGAAACGACAUCGAAAGCUUGCUUUUGAUGGGCGUCGACCGGCGCACGGGUGAGUAACGCGUAUCCAACCUGCCCACCACUUGGGGAUAACCUUGCGAAAGUAAGACUAAUACCCAAUGACGUCUCUAGAAGACAUCUGAAGGAGAUUAAAGAUUUAUCGGUGAUGGAUGGGGAUGCGUCUGAUUAGCUUGUUGGCGGGGUAACGGCCACCAAGGCGACGAUCAGUAGGGGUUCUGAAAGGAAGGUCCCCCAGAUUGGAACUGAGACACGGUCCAAAACUCCUACGGGAGCA